rnacentral:rRNA from 1 species
UACAGAGGGGGCAAGCGUUGUUCGGAAUUACUGGGCGUAAAGGGCGCGUAGGCGGCCUGUUAAGUCGAACGUGAAAUCCCCGGGCUCAACCCGGGAACUGCGUCCGAUACUGGCAGGCUUGAAUCCGGGAGAGGGAUGCGGAAUUCCAGGUGUAGCGGUGAAAUGCGUAGAUAUCUGGAGGAACACCGGUGGCGAAGGCGGCAUCCUGGACCGGGCAUUGACGCUGAGGCGCGAAAGCCCAGGGGAGCAAACGGGG